rnacentral:rRNA from 1 species
UACGGAGGGUGCAAGCGUUAUCCGGAUUCACUGGGUUUAAAGGGUGCGUAGGCGGGCAGGUAAGUCCGUGGUGAAAUCUCUGAGCUUAACUCAGAAACUGCCAUGGAUACUAUUUGUCUUGAAUAUUGUGGAGGUAAGCGGAAUAUGUCAUGUAGCGGUGAAAUGCUUAGAUAUGACAUAGAACACCAAUUGCGAAGGCAGCUUACUACACAGUUAUUGACGCUGAGGCACGAAAGCGCGGGGAUCAAACAGG